rnacentral:rRNA from 1 species
AUACCUCAGUAACGGCGUAGUGAAGCGGUAACAGCUCAAAUUUGAAAUCUGGCCCUUUUAGGGUCCGUGUUGUAAUUUGUAGAAGUUGCUUUGGGCGUGGCUCCGGUCUAAGUUCCUUGGAACAGGACGUCAUAGAGGGUGAGAAUCCCGUAUGUGACUGGUAGCUUUCGCCCGUGUAAAGCUCUUUCGACGAGUCGAGUUGUUUGGGAAUGCAGCUCAAAAUGGGUGGUAAAUUUCAUCUAAAGCUAAAUAUUGGCCCAGAGACCGAUAGCGCACAAGUAGAGUGAUCGAAAGAUGAAAAGCACUUUGGAAAGAGAGUUAAACAGUACGUGAAAUUGUUGAAAGGGAAGCGCUUGCAACCAGACUCGCAGGCCGUCGAUCAUCUCAGGUUCUCCUGGGUGCACUCGGCGGUCUUCGGGCCAGCAUCGGUUUGGGUGGUGGGAUAAAGGCCUUGGGAAUGUAGCUUCUUUCGGGGAGUGUUAUAGCCCUCGGUGCAAUGCCGCCUACCCGGACCGAGGACCGCGCUUCGGCUAGGAUGCUGGCGUAAUGGUUGUAAGCGACCCGUCUUGAAACACGGACCAAGGAGUCUAACAUCUAUGCGAGUAUUUGGGUGUUAAACCCAUAUGCGUAAUGAAAGUGAACGGAGGUGAGAACCCUUAAGGGUGCAUCAUCGACCGAUCCUGAUGUCUUCGGAUGGAUUUGAGUAAGAGCAUAGCUGUUGGGACCCGAAAGAUGGUGAACUAUGCCUAAAUAGGGUGAAGCCAGAGGAAACUCUGGUGGAGGCUCGCAGCGGUUCUGACGUGCAAAUCGAUCGUCAAAUUUGGGUAUAGGGGCGAAAGACUAAUCGACCCAUCUAGUAGCUGGGUCUGCGA